GAGAGAGAGAAAAAAAACAAAAAAAAAACAGAGACUUUAGCCGGUGAAUGAAUAUCCGAGAGGUGGAGAAGACAUCUGUAUCCUGCAGAGCAUCCUUUCCUGGGAUGAUGCUCUGCCUGUAAUUCUGACCCGCACACUCCCCACACACACACACCAUAUCCCUAACCACAGUCCACAAUCUGUGGUUGUACAGCAGGCAAAACACACUCACACCCUCACCUCUCCC